rnacentral:lncRNA from 1 species
UAUAAAAUAAAUAAAAGCCACAAAGCCACGUUUAUUGACUCGCCAGGCGAGGAAACACGCACAAGUGAAGAAAUUCACUGAAUAGUCAGCCGAGGAGGGAGAGUCGGGGAUGUUUAAUCUUGGAGAGGGGCUCACAAUGAUUAAGGCUCGAAAACCAGCACUCCAGAAAUUAAUCUAAAGGUCUGUACCUGGUUGGUUCAAACAAAUCCAUCGUUCAUUGUUGAGGAAAGAGUCUUUAGUUGAGUCCAGUGGGGGUUUGGCGUUUGGGUCCACUUCAGCUGCUUAGAAUCAGUUAUGAUGAAACACAAUAUUUAAUUGUGAUAUCUCCUAGGGCAUGUGUUGCUAUAAGUGGAAAUUUUUCCUGUUUCAAUUCCCGCCUGCUCCUCCUCAAUGGAAGCUCCGUAUAUGACACGUAUGAGCAUAAGAAUGGUGUCAAACCUGCCCAGGAUACCAGAAAUUUCUGUGAAUUUGGAUGAUGAGGAUUAACCAGAGUGUUUCUCUUCACCCCACAACACCUGCUCCUGAAAAGGAAGCAUUUGUUCCUUGCAUGCAAAUCAUUUUGUAUUAAAGAGGCAUCUAAUGAGCAUCGGAUGAAAGUCCCCUGGAGCAGGUGUGAGAACCACUGCUUCGAGGUGUGGUGAUGGACAUUGGCGGCGUAAUUCCCACGGGCACUUUCUGAUGCAAAAGGGAAGGAAAAGAGGAGGAAGAGUUAGGAUUGACUCUGAGACCAUGAAAUGUGGUACCUUCAGGAGCUAUUUGAAGAAGGCAGCAGCCAGUGCUCAGAAAAUGUCCCAAACACUGAGCAGCCUUCAUCCGUCUAGUGGCUAAGGGAGUAAGGCAGGGAGGCUGCUGCCUGAGAACGAGAGGAAACGGCCUGUCUCUGUUCAGAACACUCUCAGGGGGCCCAGCGGAUUCCGUCUCAGGUUCUCAGUGGCCUGCAUCCAUCAUCCAUGAGGACCCACCGAGAAGACAGCAGGAGCCCCUACUGAAAGAACGAACAAGUAAAGAAAGAAGAUGGCAACUUCAUGGCAUUUUUCUCCCAGCAUCCAAUUUAGACAAUAUUUUAGCUUGUUCAAAGAGAAAAUCUGAAGUACAGAAAGAAUAAAGGAGCCCAUAGGAAAUACACACCAGCCAUGCCUUGCAGGCUCUCUUCAGAGGGUCCCCUCUGUCAAGACACCUCACAGACUUUGACAAGAUCCUGAAUUGGCUCCU